CAUACGGAACCCGGAGUUUAACAUCAGACCUCCCUUUCCGCAAGCUAUCAGUCAGUACGAAGCGGAUACCAGGGGAAGGAGGGCGCUAGACUGCCAGAGAAGGACUCCAGGGCUAUAGAAAUUACACGAUUGGACGCAAGGCCAUUGCUGGAGAUGUAUACCGGGGCCAGUUCUGGUGACGUCGAAGCCCCUCGCUAUUACACCGAUAUGGCCGAGCAGGGAGACGCCCGCCGCCGACGUGCCGACACCGCGACUAUUGAUGACCUUGACGAAGAGCCCGUGGAAGUCCGUCAGCUGUGUUUUUAUCACUCUAUGAAGCGCAAGGUGGAGGGAUUAGUGCGGUUUGCGAGGCGGUUGUUUAUGCUCGCUGUGGUGGUGGUGGUGGUGGUGCACAUCCUCGGUUUGCUGGUCAACUUUCGUGUCCUCGGACAGUCCGAGAGACCAACGAAGGAUGCUCCCCGAGGAUCCUACCGCUCUAUCUACCUGAGUGGCAUUAGAGCGUUCAUCUUCCUCUUGUGCCAGGUGGGGAUCGCUGUGGACCACGUGCUGAAGGUGUGCGAGAUGAUUCCCUUCUUCUAUGGGUGGGUCAUCCUCAUCUUCUUCCUGCGAGGAUUGGUGAAGACGGUGCUGGACAUAACUGUGAUAAGAUGGACUCGCGCGUUAUUCCGUGCAAGUGUGGGAGUACUAUUGAGACGGUAAUGUGGAAACUCGAAUCCCAAAGAAGCUCUCCUAGCAUGACGACUUGGCGUGGACACGGAAAUGGCUGAGGACGAGAACGAGGAUUUUUUAAGUGGAUAGUCAACAACUGUCUGAAGUCUCCAUAAGUCAUCGGGUGAGGCGGUCGUCAUGCUGGCGUGGCCCGCCCCUCCUGGUGUGACCGGGGACUGGACGGCAAGAGCGGAAGACCAAUACCAACAAGUUGUAAUGAGGGCCGGACACCACCUCGCCGCUGCCCCACGCCUGUAUCGCAAGCACACCACUCGCUGCUCACAACGUCACCUUGCUGCCUCAUGCGACCAGCUCGUGUGCGAUGAGUUCUGCUCUCCGACAAGACUGACAUCAACCAUAUCAGUCAACAGAAGUGGAAGUAUUUUAGACUCGCCUUAUACAGGUUCUUUUAGAUUAAUAUUACAGUUCUUAAGGCUUAGAAUGAUGGUCAACAUUUUAAAGUGGAAGAGGCAUAGUUUUAUAAGAUUUUGCUAAUGUUUAAGUGGUUUGCCUUUAAUCUUAAUACGGUAAAGAAACUGAAGGAAGCGUACUCAGUUUUUGCCAUCGAUAUCUUUUAUGAGUUUGCUUUCAUUAUCUGUGGAGGGUAAUUUUAAGUGGAAUGAGGAUAGUUUUAUCUUAGUAAUUUUAAGAGCUCUAGAUUAGUUUAUUAAGUACUUUUAAUUUGUACAGGUAUAGUCGGCUAUAAUAAUAUCAAACACCUCACAUGGAUUGAUUGAAGAGAAUUGGAACAAAAUCUAUGGGCAUGUGUUGUGUUGGUUAGGGGGUACCAAGGGUAGAGCGUCCACUGGUACUCUCCUACCAACAACACAAAGGCUACAUUGGUUUUGCUCAAAUUCUAUUCAACCGACCCAUGGAUGCUGGAUAUUGUUUUAGCCAUCCGUACAUAUUUUUUCUAAUUUCAAUACUAAAGCUCCAAAUUUUAGACUGUAAGCGCAAGCAGGCUAGAUUAGUUUGAUUUUAGACUGUUCCCUUCAGCGUCAUACAAGAUUAAGCCUAACUAAUACGAGUCGGGUUAACCCAGCCAGAACCAAUCUUGCCCCAUGCAUCUGCCUCGCCUGUACGGGGGUUUAAGUUGAGACUCGGCCUGUCCAACCCAACCUCAUCUCAGGGGGUAACUACGUCUAGUAUAACCCGGCACAGGUCUUGACGACGGUCCUGUGCCGGGCUAGAUCAAAGACGUUGUUACCCCCAGUCAAGAUGAGGCUGGGCUAGUCUCACUUUUAACCUCCAUACAGGCGAGGCUUGUGCUGAACCAAAUUUUAGAUUAUAACUGUAAACAGGCUAGAUAACUGUUUUCAGACUACACCAUCAUCAUUCCAGAAAAGAACAAACUAAGGAGUGUGUUGUUCAGUCUACCCAGCCAGGACUUGAACCACUUGCAGCUGCACGGGGUCGAAAGUGACACACCCUGCCCGACCCAACCUCAUCUCGACUGGGGGGUAACUACGUCUAAUCUACCCAGGCACAGGUUUUGGUGACAGGCCUGUGCCGGGGUAAAUUAAAGACAUGGUUACCCCCAGUGAAGAUGAGGCUGGGCGAGACAGGGUGAGUCUGUACCCUUUUAAACUCCGUACAGGCGAGGCUUGCACUGCGCUAGGGACUAGAGUCCUGGCUGGGUUGCCGAUAUAGAUAAGUUUAUUACGUACUUUUAUAUUGUACUCGAGUUUGCUACUAAUAAUACAUAUACUAUACUUUUAUAUUGUACUCAAGUUUACUACUAAUACAUAUACUAGUGUAUC